UAAAAAGCGCAGAUGAGGAUAAGUAGCUUUGCUGAAGUUUUUCACAGAGAGCCGGGAACGCUGAGAACCGGCAAAACAACUCAAAGUGAACUCGCCUCAGAGUGCCGGUCUGAAAUGUAAAGAGUAGGACUCGGCCGAGUGAACUGUCAUGUUUACUCGUUAUCAAAACGGAUAGAAAUUAUCCAUGAGACGGUCGGUAAAAGACCGUAAACAAGGGUGGUACCGCGGAAAGUAAAGCCUUUUCGCCCCUUUU
rnacentral:ncRNA from 1 species